AGAAAAAAAGAAAAAAAGAAACGAAUAAUAAUCGGUUUAUAGUAUCAGGUUAGUCAGUAUAGUAUGUAGGUUUCGAAGAACAACAGUAUUUCCUAAACAAAAACUCUUCUAACCCAUCUUCCCCGCUAAUAUAACUUUUUUUCAGAGAAUGUUUGUGAUCGCGCGCAAUGCGAUCCAUAGAGUCAGUGUUUGCUGCGUAAUAACAUCUCGUAUAUUUUUUCUGGAGCGCAAUAGCUCCCCAAGAGGAUACAGGAACUCCGAUACUCAAUUUUUUCAUAACUUUUCCUAGCUUUUUCUUGGAAGCUUCGAAAAGGACGCAGUGAUGCUACGAAACUAAGCGUGGUUAUCACUCCUUUCUCUUGCUCCUAUUUCUUAAAAAGGAGCUAGUGGGCCUUGAAAAGCCAAGAAUAUUUUUCCAUGAUGGAAUUGCAUGGCUCCUCCUUGAGCCGACGGUCUUCACUUCCUCUGAGCUACCACAGCAUCGAUGACUACGUUCUUCGCAUCUUAUCGUGAGUCGCAUGGAUUUUUGUUCCUUCGGUCGCUCGAUCAUGUCGUAGGACGAAAGGUCCGAAUCGACACGGGUGACUGGUUGUAUUACGUAGAAUUUUUUGCGAGCACAGCGAGUAGUAACAUUUUCUUUUUCUGUGUAUUAUUUAUUAGUUCAGGAUAGGUCUUUUUGCGCAUCGCGUUUUGUUUUUUUCUUUUAUAUUAAUUUGCAUGAUACUGACAAAUGUUGUAUUAACAAUGUUACAAUAUUGGCAUUAACUGGUACAAGAGAUAUUAUAUUAACAGUUAAUUUGAAUAUUUGUGAUUGAAGGUGCGUUCGUUAUAAUUACCUUUAAAUGUAUCUAUUAAAUGUAUUAAAAAUAUACAUUUAGAGAAGGAAAUU